GCGAAUCUCGAAAGCCUGUCUCAGUUCGGAUUGGAGGCUGAAACCCGCCUCCAUGAAGUUGGAUUCGCUAGUAAUCGCGCAUCAGCCAUGGCGCGGUGAAUACGUUCCCAGGCCUUGUACACACCGCCCGUCAAGCCAUGGAAGCUGGGGGUGCCUGAAGUUCGUGACCGGAAGGAGCGACCUAGGGCAAAACCGGUGACUGGGGCUAAGUCGUAACAAGGUAAC
rnacentral:rRNA from 1 species